rnacentral:rRNA from 1 species
CCCCUAGAUGUUCUGGGCCGCACGCGCGCUACACUGAACAGUUCAACAAGUCUUAACCUUGGCCGAUAGGUCUGGGUAAUCUUUGAACGCUGUUCGUGAUUGGGAUAGACCUUUGCAAUUAUGGGUCUUCAACGAGGAAUUCCUAGUAAACGCAAGUCAUCAGCUUGCAUUGAUCACGUCCCUGCCCUUUGUACACACCGCCCGUCGCACCUACCGAUUGAAUGGUCCGGUGAAAUCUCGGGACGGCGGCUUGGUCGCUUGCGUCCGACUGCUGAAACUUGAUUAAACCAUAUCAUUUAGAGGAAGGUGAAGUCGUANCA